ACCUUUUCGUUAAUUUUGUAUCUAAAACUAGUAGUUUCCUAAACUAUUGGUCGUGGGUUCAAUUCCCGCCCCGGGUACCA
rnacentral:tRNA from 1 species